GGGCGGUUAGCUCAGAGGUUAGAGCGCUGCGUUGACAUCGCAGAGGUCACUGGUUCAAGUCCAGUACCGCCCA
rnacentral:tRNA from 1 species